GCCUGAGAGCAUCAGCCAGUGGGUGAGGGCCAGUGUCCUGACUGCUGACAAGUGGCCAUCUUAGAGAAGCUACCAGAGAGCCAAAGCACUAAUGGCUGCCUCAUCUUGGAUGCCACAACAUUGAAAUUGAUAAUGAGCUGGAACCAGGAAACCUUUGCAGGCCUGAGCAUUCUCACUCCGCCUCAACCCCCAAACCAGAGCAUCACGGAUAUGCCAACAGCCAGGGCACAACCCAGCCCACUGGAUAAAUGUUUUCUGGCUUCCCUUUUUUUCCAUGGCAAAGGGGGAAUGCAAGGUGAAGGCUGCAACAGACAGUGGCCCAGGAUUUCAAACCCUGUUCCUGGAAGCAGCAGAUGGCUGCAGGAGGAUGAGGACCAGCCAGGCCAGAACCUUUGCUGGCAAGCCACUCUUCUUUUUCAAGACAGUGCUCACUGUGACAGCUCACAGUGUUGGCACUCCACCCAGAUCCUCUGGCUCCCUUUUGACCCUCUGGUUAUACACCCUGCUCUUCUCACUGUGAUUUUCUUCCAAACAUUCAGCACCUAUGAUUAGCUUCAGGAGAACAGCGUUCAGAGGAAGAGAAGGAAGCUACUUGGCACAGGUAUGUAGGGAACUAGAAGGACCUGGGAUUUUUCCCUAUCCCCAUGGUGGCCCAUAGUCACUGGGUAAUGGGCACCGAAAUCUGAAACCCUCAGCUGCCUUACCUGAAAAAGCACAGCUUACUCUCCAGGGUCCUAGUGCAGAACAGGCUGAGGCUGGCACCUGCCCAAAUGACCUCUUUCUUGAUUUCUUUUUUCUCUUUUCCCCCAUUAAUAUCUCACUACCAAAAGAAAUGCACCCUCUCCAACUACCCUUUCCCCCAAACCACCUCCUCCUCUAGACCCCUUUAUUGUUGUUAGAGGGACUUGCCAUUGUCGUUGACAUCAAGUUCAGAGGUUGGAGUAGCUUGUGUCAUCUGUCCUAUUCUGUCCUUCUCCCUUACUGCUACCCCAUCUCAGUCCCCCUUCCUUCAGCACAGAGGCUAAGACAAUAGGACUUUAGCAUUAGGUGUCCAGUUCCCACUGUUCUGGAACAUCCGGAACAUUGUUGGCAAACAGAUUUGGCUAAAGCCCAGGUCUAACUUCUCCAUCCCGCCAAGAUCACUAAGUUUUCAAUGAUUCCCAAAUUCUUGCCAAAGUAAAUAUACCCUCCUGGUGUGGGCAUUCCCAGACCCUCCAUAAUAUGUCUCCAGGUUGUGUCUCCGAAGUUGUAAGAGGGCCAAGAUGGGAAGCUACUCUCCUAACCCCUACUAAACACUUUCUCCCAAAAUGGGCCAUUUUAUUUUUUUUCUUUAAUUUUUAUUGUUGGUUGUUCAAAACAUUACAUAGUUCUUGACAAAUCAUAUUUCACACUUUGAUUCAAGUGGGUUAUGAACUCCCAUUUUUACCCCGUAUACAGAUUUCAGCAUCACAUUGGUUACACAUCCACUGUUUUACAUAUUGCUAUACUAGUGUCUGUUGUGUUCUGCUGCCUUUCCUAUCCUCUACUAUCCCCCAUCCCCUCCCCUCCCAUCUUCUCUCUCUACCCCCUCUACUGUAAUUCAUUUCUCCCCCUUGUUUUGUUUUUUUUUUCCCCUUUCCCCUCACUUCCUAUUGUAUGUAAUUUUGUAUAACCAUGGGGGUCUCCUUCCAUUUCCAUGCAAUUUCCCUUCUCUUUCCUUUUCCCUCCCACCUCUCACCCCUGUUUAAUGUUAAUCUUCUUCUCAUGCUCUUCCUCCCAACUCUGUUCUUAGUUACUCUCCUUAUAUCAAAGAAAACAUUUGGCAUUUGUUUUUUAGGGAUUGGCUAGCUUCACUUAGCAUAAUCUGUUCUAAUGCCAUCCAUUUCCCUGCAAAUUCUAUGAUUUUGUCAUUUUUUAAUGCAGAGUAAUACUCCAUUGUGUAUAACUGCCACAUUUUUUUUAUCCAUUCGUCUAUUGAAGGGCAUCUAGGUUGGUUCCACAGUCUUGCUACAAAAUGGGCCAUUUUAAUAGGUAGAGAUUAUCACGGUGGUCAAGACCAUGAUAUAAAAGCAAUAGAUGAAGGAGUGUGGAUGACUUACAUUGAGUAGGGAAACAGAGAAGGUCUGGGGCCAUAAAAUGGUCUUCCUCUCUACACCCAGAAUUUGGCUUUACUUUCACUUACAAGUCUGUUACAAGGGUCACAGAAGAUUUUUGGAUUCUCCUUCAGAAUGCAUGUUGAACUCACAGAGCUUCCAUUUAUAAGAUACCAGGCUUCCCAGCAUGCCCUGUUCGGACAUAGCCUUCAUAUUGGUUAGAACAGGUGCUCACAUCCUGAGUUUUCACUCUGGCCACCACAAGUCAUGUGAUGAACCUGCACUGAUAAAAUCCAUUGUAGAAUGCUUGCCCUUUUCUUUUCUUCUCCCAGCACCCCUCACCUAGGUUUCUGACCUUGGGCUUAAUUAACUUCACCUUGUCCACUCCAGUGUGGCAUGGAGCACAGAUCUCAGACUUUCCCAUCCAUUCUCUAGUGGACCUGAUUUCUCACUAUAGUAAGUUUGUAUUUGGUGGCUUUGGGUUAAUUACCUCUCAGCUCAGCCAGGCUCUGGGAACUUCUCCAGGGAAAAUCUGCCAUCGGUUGCAGUCCUCUCUGCAUGCCCUUGGUCAUUUAUAAACUCUUUGAGUGGUGGGCAUUCCACUCGCUGUGCUGCCUAAAUCUCCUUUCAAGGAACAGCUUGCGUCAAGCCCAACAGGUGACCUCCAGUUAUCAGCCCUUUUGGGGUCUGCCCAAGCUAUUGAGAACACUGCCAAGGUCAUGUUCUUCCCAAGAUGGCCUACAUCCAGUGAGUGAACAAGAUCAGGACACGGAGGCCUGGCAAUGUUGGUUCCACAUGGGACAGUCUGAGGGGAUGGCUUGUUCCAGAAUUUUCUGCCACAUUGGCCAAGGCUUUGUUAGGACUGUCAUACACCAUUCCAUGUCCUCCUCUGUACAGUCUUGCUUUCUCCCACUUAUUUUCACAGACAUUGAUUCCCAACUGGUGUCUUAUACCCCACACUCUGUGUCAGCAUCUGUAUCUGGGAAGUGCAACACGCAGCUGUAGGCUAAGGGGACUUGAUGGUGCUUCUGUAUGUCCCCUGUGGGCUCUGCUCUGAAGAGGCACUCUGAAAAUGUUUAUUAAUUGUAGUUUGUUAUGGUUUGGAUGUGAGGUGUCCCCCAAAAACCAUGUGAAGCAAUGCAAGAAGUUUCAGAGGAGAAAUGAUUAGGUUGUGAAAGUCUUAACCGAAUUAGUGAAUCCCCUUGGUAGGGAUUAACUGAGUGGUAACUGGAGGCAGGUGGGGUGUGGCUGGAGGAAACGGUUCAUUGGGGGUGUGGCUGUGGGGUAUGUAUUUUGUGUCUGGAUAAUGGAGUCUCUCUCUGCUUUCUGAUCAUUAUAUGAGCUGCUUCUGUCCACCACACUCUUCUGCCAUGAUGUUCAGCCUCACCUUGAGGCCUGAGGAAUGGAGAUGGCUGUCUAUGGACUGAGGUCUCUGAAACUGUGAACCCCCAAAUAAACCCCCUCUGGUUGUUGUUGUUCUGGUUAGAUCUUUUAGUUAUAGCAAUGACAAAACUGACUAAGAGUUCAAUUGCUGCUAAUAAUUACAGACAUUGAAGGAGUAGAUCCAUGUACCUGGUAUGUGAAGCAGCAGAGCUCAGUAUGUGAAUGCAUCCUUUAGUACUCAGAUGACCCCAUGAGAAAAGCACCAUUAUUGCUCCCUUGUUACAAAUGAUGAAAUUAAGGCACAGGAGGUAACUGAGUGGGAACAUGAGCCCUCAAAGCUUGAUCCCAAGCAAGAGCUCCUCUGUUGGAGCUAAACUCUAGGGGUAUAUGACAGCUGGUAACUAACAUGGAAGAGGAAUCUUAUAAAAUGACACAAAACAGUGUCAGAAAACUGGAGGAGAAAUGACACCAUGCCAGGGGGUGAGCACCCAUGGGAGCUAGCAGACUCAGAACACUCCAGAAACUAUGUCUCUCAUGACAGCAUUCUCUGUCCUUAAAAAUCAGAACAUCAGGCUGGGGUUGUGACUCCAUGAUGGAGCGCUUGCGUAGCACAUGUGAGGCACUAGGUAUGAUGCUCAGCACCACAAAAAAACAACUAAGUAGAAAAAGGUAAAAAAAAUGUGGCAUUGAUGCACAAUGGAAUAUUACUCAGCAGUAAAAGAGAAUAAAAUCAUGGCAUUUGUACAUAAAUGGAUGGCACUGGAAAAAGUAAUGCUAAGUGAAGUUAGUCAAUCCCAAAAAAUCAAAUGCCGAAUAUUUUCUCUGAUAUAAAGGGGCUGAUUCAUAGUGGGAUAGGAAUGGGAGCAUGGGAUGAAUAGACGAAUUUUAGAUAGGGCAGAGCAGUAGGAGGGGAAGGGAGGGGGCAUGGGUUAGAAAUGAUGGUGGAAUGUGAUGGACAUCAUUAUCCAAAGUACAUGUAUGAAGGCAUGAAUUGGUGUGAAUAUACUUUAUAUACAACCAGAGAUAUGAAAAUGUGUUCUAUACAUGUAAUAUGAAUUAUAAUGCAUUCUGCUGUCAUAUAUUAAAAAAUCCAUUAAAAAGAAAAAGGUAUUGUGUCCAUCAACAACUCACAACGUUUUAAAAAAUUCAUGGCAUCAUAGACUGCCUAAAAUUUCUACAAAUGUAGCCUAACCUCCCUGUGGCACAAAGUAAAAGCAAAAAGAUUAAAGAACAUUCCCAAGGUCACAGAGCUGAUUGGAGUCUAUCCCACCAGACUAACCAAGGUUCCAGAUCCAUCCCACUCAAUUCCCUUUCCUCCUACCCUCUAUGGCAUACCCUAGAGCUCUCUGGUAGGCAGCUGCCAGAUAUUGAGGCAGGAAUGGCACCUCCCACUUGUCGGGUCCAAUCUUGGAGACAGGAGUCCACCACCUCCUUGGCCAUACCAUAUUUUGCUCAUCCAGCACAAUCAGUAUUCCAAGCACCUUGGGAGUGUCAAGGCAAGGGGAUUGAAAGAUGGGCUGUCAGAAGAUGAUGCAACAGUGCUACCUCAUUUUUCUUGCUAAUUUGCCCAAAUUCUAUUAUUCCAUUUCUCACUUCCUUUUGCCAUUGAAACAUAACAGCACAAUGGCAAGUGGCUAAGUGCUAUGAAAUCAAACAAGUCUUGGUGUGAAACUCACCGUACCUCUUCCUUGUGGUGUGACCUUGAGAAAUUUACUGAAAUUCUUUGAGCCUUAGUUCCUCCCUCUAUACAGUGAAGCAAAUGAUGCUCAAGAGUUACCUCAGAGAGUGGCAGGAGGGUUAAAUAAAAUCAUGAAUAUUAAGGGCUGAGCACAGGGCUCCUGAACACAGUAAGGCCAUUGUAAAUUGUAGCCAUUGUUAUUUUUAUUAAAGAUACAUAAGAGAUAACAUGUGUGGCACCCAGUAAUCAUUAAUCUGAAGUCCUCAGCAGGGAAGAACAAAUCAGAGCAUGCAUUAAUUAGGGCUUCUCAUAACAGAAAGAAUUUAGCUGAUACACACAAUGCUUUUCAGGAUAUGAACAAAACCAAAUGGACCAUCUCAGGGCCAGAAUCUGUCCUUGGCAGUCCCAAGCUGUCAUAGAAACUCCCUUCCCCAAACUCGCUUCUGAUAUCAAAUCUAUAAUUCCCACUCUUCAAGUUUCCUUAAAGACAGAAUUAAGAUAGUCUGGUUAGUCUACAAGAAUGAGAUAGAAGGUUGGGAUGGAAAGAUAUGUGACAUUUCAAUAACUUGGUGGAGUGAGCUAACAAGGACAUGACUCCUUCUGCAAAGGGAUAGCUGAUAAAACAUAAUGAAGAAAAUAAGCUAGGCACAGUGGUGCAUUCCUAUAACCCCUGUGGCUCGGGAGGCUGAGGCAGGAGGAUUGCGAGUUCAAUGCCAGCCUCAGCAACUUAGCAAGGCCCUAAGCAACUCAGUGAGACCCUGUCUCUAAAUAAAAAAUAAAAAAGGUCUGGGGAUGUGGCUCAGUGGUUAAGUGCCUCUGGGUUCAAUCCCCAGUACCAAUAAAUAAAUAAAUAACAUAAUGAAAAAAUAAAUAACUACACAGUUUGAGAUAGAAGAAGGGAGGAAGGGAGGAAAGAAAGAGGGAGGGGUGAAGGGAGGGAGCCAAGGAGGAAGGCAGGGAAGGGAGAGAAGAGGAGACAAAAGAAAAGAAACCCAAGUCUUUUUUCAGGUAUUAAGUUCAACUCCAAGUCCUGGAUUUCUGAUUCCUGAACCACGUGUGGGUAUAGCUCCUUAUACCCCAGUCACAUUGCCUCAGGGUUUCUUAAACUUUCUGUACUGUGGCCUCUCUAGCAGUCUAGGCAUGCCUCUGGAUGGACUCUUUGUCAAAAUCAUAUUUUUAAACAACAACAACAACAAAACACUUGAAAUGUAUAUACCAAAAUAUAAAACAAUUAUUGAUAUAGAAAUCUAUGUCCUUUUAAUAAAUGUGUGGAAUAACAAAAUCUAGUGGUAAGUGCAUAUACUGAGGCAGUUUCAAAAGCGAUGACUAUGAAUGGCAUUUUGAUAUAUUUACCACAAAUCUCAUGUGAUAACAAAUAUCUGUGAUUCAUCAGUGACCAAUAUUGCUGAUACCACUCCAGCCUUUUGCCUGCAAUGACAUGUGAAGGAAACACUAUAUUUUAAUUAGAUAUUAGUGAAAAUAAAGAUGACCUCAGAUAUCAAUGGUAAAUUGAAUAACCUACAAUGUUCCCCAUAGGCAAUGGUAAAGGAAAACAAGACUACAACAGAUCUCCUUCCUUUUAGGAAAAGGAGAGAGUGAAAAAAAUUUCAAAGAGCCCUGGACACUGGCCCACAUUAUACAUCUUUUUGGAAGUAGACAUAAGACUACAGACUGAGAACAUUGGCUCAACCCAAGUUCUUGGGAGAACUUCUUUUGACCAUUGUCCUCGAAGUUCUUCCCUAAACAAGGCAUAAGAUACAAUUUUCUUCUAGAAGAUGCAUUCAUUUAGCAGGCCUCUGCCUUCCAGGACAGUGGCUGGGGCCUGUACAUUGCCUAGAAAGUGAACAAUCACAGACUUCUGCCUUCCAACCUUUGGGGACACUUGAGCAAUGCUGUGUCAUUAACAGUAUCCAUGAGUUGCCAGCCACUGGAUUUUUCAAAAAAACAACUGGCUAGUAAUCAACACCAAUGUGGGCAUUAGACUUGGCAAACAAGUCCCUUGCUCUGAUCUUCAUGUCCCAAGGGGUCCUGUGCUUUGGAAUCUUCCUAGAAAUUUUCUCAAUACCCCUUUGAUGCCCAAAUUGAUCUCGUAGCACCAUCUGGGCAUGGCUUUAUUUCCCCUCAACCUGGUCCCAUAUGGGUCCUGGCCUCUAGAGACACUUACCUCAGCAUUUUCUAUGUCCCCUUCAAGUGUCUUGGAACUGCCAGAGCUAGCAGCACCAUCCUCAUGGAUGGGACUUCCUGUGCACAGACCAGGACCUUCAUGGACCCUGGUCUCUGUUUAUCCCCUUUGAUUCAUUCUUUGGAUACCUAUACCCCAAACCCAGCAUUAAUAAAGAAGUGCAUAGAUUUCUAUAUCAUGAAUUAUUUUAUAAUGUUUGCUAUGUGCAUUUCAAGUGUAUUUUAUUUGCAUAAAAUGAUUCUGAGAGGGAGUUCAUUCAUAGGCAUCACUAGUCUGUUAGAGAGUACAUAGUACAGAAAAUUUAAGAAACCCUGAUGCAGAUGUGACUGGGAUAUAAGAACCUAUGCCCACACCUGGCUCAGGGAUUAGAAAUCCCCGAGGGAUUGAUCAGAUCUUUAAAGAACCAUAAGGCUCUUUCCUAUAGGAUUGUCCUGAGCCUGGGUUCCAGAAGGCAGUUUGGCAAACUAUCACUUACCCUUGUCCUGACUGCUGUGCUACAUUUGUGCCAUGUGCUUCCUACAGUUGGCACCCAGAGCAGUCACCCUACCUCUUUCACUGUUUCCAUAUCACUUGUUCUCCUGAGGUAAGUGUGCCUGUUGCCUGGAAGGACUGCACAACGACAAUGGACCUCUCUGGUUGAUAUCCUCCUCUUUCCUCCCAUUUAUAUAACACCAUGUUCUAUAAACAUGAUGGGCUGCUCUUAAGCCAUGCCGGACAAGAGUUGGACAUUCCUUUCCCAGAUGAGACUUCUCUUCUCUAACUACCCAUGAGCCCCAUCCUGUCUCCCAAACUGACAAUGUUGUGUGGAAAAGCAGGGGAAGGUCAACAUCAUAAGAGGUCAAAUUCUAGAAAUGCAGUGAUGACAGCCUACAGAGGUCCAGGGGAGACAUAAGUGGAAGAUGUAUUGUUCUAUAUUUAAGCUAUAACAUCCUAAACAGUAAAGGUGACAUAACCACAAAAUGUAUUAUUGUUUGCAUUUUCUCACAUAUUCAGUAAGAUUUGUAUUUGUGACCAUUAUCAAUGAAACACAGUAAUAACCUUUGAGACAGUCAUUGGAAGCCAGUGUUCAUGGGUGACACUCUGGAUGAUUCAUCAUCAUGGGAGAGUAACCAUCUCUGAAUAAACGAAAUAAGUGGUAUGUGGGAACGAACAAGCAAGAAGAUGUAUAACAUUUCAAUAUAAAUAGAUUCCAAAGAGCCAUGGUAUCAUGAGUAAUAAUAGCAUUACUUCCUUUUUCUUCCAAAGAGGGAUAAGAAAUUAUCCAGUAAUGACACAUUUGGC
rnacentral:lncRNA from 1 species